rnacentral:rRNA from 1 species
AACGCGAAGAACCUUACCUGGGCUCGAACGGCUUCUCAACGCCGGUGGAAACAUCGGUACCCCGCAAGGGGGUGGAGUCGAGGUGCUGCAUGGCUGUCGUCAGCUCGUGUCGUGAGAUGUUGGGUUAAGUCCCGCAACGAGCGCAACCCUUGUCCUGUGUUGCCAUCAUUCAGUUGGGAACUCGCAGGAGACCGCCAGGGAUAACCUGGAGGAAGGUGGGGAUGACGUCAAGUCCUCAUGGCCUUUAUGUCCAGGGCUACACACGUGCUACAAUGGACGGUACAAAGCGCAGCAAACCCGCGAGGGGGAGCCAAUCGCAAAAAACCGGCCUCAGUUCGGAUUGGAGUCUGCAACCCGACUCCAUGAAGCUGGAAUCGCUAGUAAUCGCGGAUCAGAACGCCGCGGUGAAUACGUUCCCGGGCCUUGUACACACCGAGUAUA